UGAGGAAUAUUGGUCAAUGGGCGCAAGCCUGAACCAGCCAUCCCGCGUGCAGGAAGACGGCGCUAUGCGUUGUAAACUGCUUUUCCAGGGAGAGAAACUUGCGCACGUGUUGCGCAAUUGACGGUACCCUGGGCAUAAGCAUCGGCUAACUCCGUGCCAGCAGCCGCGGUAAUACGGAGGAUGCGAGCGUUAUCCGGCUUCAUUGGGUUUAAAGGGUGCGUAGGCGGACUAUUAAGUCAGUGGUGAAAUCCUGCAGCUUAACUGCAGAACUGCCAUUGAUACUGAUAGCCUUGAGUUUGGUUAAGGUAGGCGGAAUGUGUAAUGUAGCGGUGAAAUGCUUAGAUAUUACACAGAACACCAAUCGCGUAGGCAGCUUACUGAGCCGACACUGACGCUGAGGCACGAAAGCGUGGGGAUCGAACAG
rnacentral:rRNA from 1 species